GCGCGUAGGCGGUUGUGUAAGUUGGAUGUGAAAGCCCCGGGCUCAACCUGGGAAUUGCAUUCAAAACUGCACGGCUAGAGUACGGGAGAGGGGGGUAGAAUUCCAGGUGUAGCGGUGAAAUGCGUAGAGAUCUGGAGGAAUACCGAUGGCGAAGGCAGCCUCCUGGCCUGAUACUGACGCUGAGGUGCGAAAGCAUGGGGAGCAAACAGGAUUAGAUACCCUGGUAGUCCAUGCCGUAAACGAUGUCGACUAGGUGUUGGGGAACUUGAUUCCUUAGUGCCGCAGCUAACGCAUUAAGUCGACCGCCUGGGGAGUACGGCCGCAAGGUUAAAACUCAAAUGAAUUGGCGGGGGCCCGCACAAGCGGUGGAGCAUGUGGUGUAAUUCGAUGCAACGCGAAGAACCUUACCUACUCUUGACAUCCAGAGAACCCUGCAGAGAUGCGGGGGUGCCUUCGGGAAUUCUGAGACAGGUGCUGCAUGGCUGUCGUCAGCUCGUGUCGUGAGAUGUUGGGUUAAGUCCCGCAACGAGCGCAACCCUUAUCCUUAGUUGCCAGCACGUUAUGGUGGGAACUCUAGGGAGACUGCCGGUGACAAACCGGAGGAAGGCGGGGACGA
rnacentral:rRNA from 1 species